rnacentral:sRNA from 1 species
GAUAUCAGGGUCAAAAGACUUGUUCACAAGAAGCUUGCUUACAAGUGGGACAAUGGCUUGUUGACCACCGCCCCGACAUGAGAAAGAAGUAGAGCAAAGCUCCAUGAAAUUGCGAAUGGCGGGCAGGAUUGUGGGAGUGCGAAGCACGGAACAAUCCGUGAUAUC